rnacentral:piRNA from 1 species
UGGACUACUGAUUCUCCUCAC